AUUGAACGCUGGCGGCAUGCCUUACACAUGCAAGUCGAACGGCAGCACGGGAGCAAUCCUGGUGGCGAGUGGCGAACGGGUGAGUAAAGCAUCGGAACGUGCCCAGUCGUGGGGGAUAACGUAGCGAAAGCUACGCUAAUACCGCAUACGAUCUGUGGAUGAAAGCGGGGGACCGUAAGGCCUCGCGCGAUUGGAGCGGCCGAUGUCAGAUUAGGUAGUUGGUGAGGUAAAGGCUCACCAAGCCGACGAUCUGUAGCUGGUCUGAGAGGACGACCAGCCACACUGGGACGGAGACACGGCCCAGACUCCUACGGGAGGCAGCAGUGGGGAAUUUUGGACAAUGGACGCAAGUCUGAUCCAGCCAUGCCGCGUGCGGGAAGAAGGCCUUCGGGUUGUAAACCGCUUUUGUCAGGGAAGAAACGCUCUGGGUUAAUACCUCGGGGUAAUGACGGUACCUGAAGAAUAAGCACCGGCUAACUACGUGCCAGCAGCCGCCGUAAAAC
rnacentral:rRNA from 1 species